rnacentral:misc_RNA from 1 species
AAACAACAGAUGGAACCAUUGACUACUCACCAGGAAGUUUCACUGGUCUCUAAUGUGGAGGAUGAUGAACUUGAGAAGAAUAAAAGUGAGAAAAGCAGUGUGAAGCAAGAUCAUCGCAGUCCAAAACACAUGUCCUCUCCAGAACUUUUUGAAGCACCUAAUGAAAAUAAACUCAGCGUUAGCAGUCACAGUCAGAGUCAGACCCC